UUUAUUUUUAUUUUACACUUUGGAAUUCAACUGCUCUGAAUCAGAUUAAUUACAAUUUUUGGUCAUGUCAUUGUUUCAUCAUUUGUCCACAUAUAGGCCACUUUUAUUGAUUUUGUCAAUUACUUAAUUAUUUAUUUUUAAUAAUAGAAGCCACCCACAAAGCCACUAUCCUAAACAAAAAUGGGGGCUCUAAUUAUAAACAGGCCACAUCAAAUCUUCUGUUUCCCUCACCAGUCCAUCCCUCUCCUCCCUUCCACCCAAAAGAUUCAUCAUCCAGAAUCUUAUGUUCAUUGUUUCUUUCAUCUCAUUGUAUUGUAACUACUUUUUUUCCUAAAAAGUAUACAAAUACAUAUUUAGUAGUUUUUUUUACAAAAAGAAUGUCAGAUUCUAUAUAAUCUUUUAGAAAUUUUGUCACUUAACAUUGUAUGAUAAAAGUAAUUUAUAUUGUUACUUACAGCUAUAUUUCAUUCAUUUUGGUUGCUAUAUAAUAUUCAAUUAGUAAAUGUACCACAGUUCAUUUAUAUGCCAUCUGUUGCUAGACAUUUGGAUUCAUUCUGUUUUUUGUUGGUAAGAACUGUGCUGCUAUAACAUCCUCUUACAUAUCUUCUCUUGUGUAUGUACAAGAGUUUCUCUUGAAUAUAUACCUGGGCCUGGAAGUACUGGAGUAUGGAACAUGUAAAUGUUCAAUUUUAGGAAAAAAUGGCAAGCCUUUCCAAAGUUUUUGCUUUCAUCCAUAAUAUAUGAAAGAGCCUCUGGAUCUACACUUGUUAUCAUCAGAAUUUUAAAUAUUUGGAAUCCAGUGGAGGUAAAAUGUUACCCUGUUGUGAUCUUAAUAAACAUUAUUUAAAAAUAAAAACAUUUCUUCAUUUCUAGUUUUUUAAGGUAUACUAUACAUUUCAAAAUAUUUUAGUGGUAUGUAGAGUAAUACAAAGUAAUUAAUUGCAAAAUGAUAGGUCUUACUUUGAGCUGAUGGUUUUUUCUAACUUCUCUUUCAUGUCACUACAGGCAUGGCCAGGACUGUGAUAUGCGGUCAUUAUGGCCAUUAUGUUCCCUGCUGGUAUCGCAUGUCCCUAGGCAGAGUGCCAGGAAGUGAGAUCAUGUAUUUACUAUAAGUUUUCCAAUCAUUCAUUCUUUCAUACUCUGGAAGCAGCACCUCAUCCCAAGUGAUUUUAAAAAUACCUAGGAGAUUUCCAUUGACUUAGGUUUGUAAAAUAUUUUAUUUUAUUAAAAUAUAAGUGCUACAUGGGCACAUUUAUAAACACAAGUCAUUUUAUUGCAAAGUUAUAUAGAACUGGCCCAAGUGAUUAAGUAUUUUAAAAUCUACUCAAUUCGAUUUCUAGAUUUUCAUGCUCCUUUCUCUAAGAUAUUAAUUUAAUUAGUUUAAAUGCAAAGUCAUGUUUGAGGUGGUUCUCAGACAUCUGAAAUGAAGGACUAAUGAAUGUCUUUUAAAUUUGGAAACAGCAAGGGUAGGAGAGAAAUCGUUUUUCAAAACUCCACAGUCAGCAAAGAAAGGUAUCAACUUUUUAAAAAACAAAAAUUUUUUUUACAUGUACUACCUUGUUUUAUUCAUCCUCACAAAAUCCCUGGAAAACUGAGGGAAGAAUAGAUGGGUAGAGAUCCACAGUACCUAAGACAGUUCUUCCCAAGCUGGGGCCUGGAGAAUCACUGAGACUGUUACCACAGCAGAUCAGGUUUUUCAUUACAAGAGAUCCUCCUCUUUGAAAAGGUGAUUCAAGACAUGAGGCCCAAUGCAAGGAGAUGUUAGCACCUUCAUCUGGACCCCCUCACACCACCUGUACAUUUCUUAUUUUUUCACAUUUUAGGUCUCAGGGUAGGCAGCUAAACCUUCCAUUUAUGGUCUCGAUAAUACCCUCCAUAAUUUGAGAUGGCAUCUCAUUUUUCCCUUCAGUUUUCCUCUCUGCACUGGUCUUUCCGUCAGGCUCACCAUCCAUUAAGUCUGCCACAUCGUAACUCACCACCACAAGCAGAAAUCUCACUGCCCUGCUUUCCCCCUUUACUCUUCAUCUCACUCCUGGUGAUCUACCCCAGGCUAUUGUAUUACAUUUACCUUGACAAUACACUACUCCCUCAUUCAACUCCUCAGUUCAAAAGGAUCCCAGGCUUCCUCACUCAAAUCCGCACUCCUGAGGCUCACAGAGGGCCCUUCCAAGACUUUAUUAGGUUGGUCCACACUCUUCUCAUAUUGUACCCUGUGAUUUUGCUAAACUGAAUUAUUUGGUGUUGCUUUAGUGCAGCCCCAUAAUUUUAACAUGAAUUUCAUCUACCUGGAAUGCCACCCACAACCAGCUGGCAUGCUGAAAUGUGUCCGUUCUCCGAAUGCCAGUUUAAAUGCUACCUCCUCCAGAUAUCUUCCCCAGUUACCUCAAACUCAAACCAAUUCUCUGAAAUCUAUCGUCACUAUUUAAAUCUAUCUUAUUAUAGCUACUGGUGUAUAUUUUUGUCAUCUCUUCUACUACAUUGCAUGCUGUUGAAGUGAGGAACUCUUAAACAUUUUGUAAAAACAUUGUCUUUACAUUACAAGUUAUCAAUAGAUAUUUUCUAAAUAAGUUAGGCAGAAAUGAUAAUAAAAUUUGUUUAAAUGAAUAUAAAUUUUUAUACUGAACAGAUUUCUACAGUUUUAAAUCCUGAAAAAUAAUUUAGUCACUAUAUUAUACCUUAUUACAAAACCCUCUCCUGAAUGUCUUAUACAAGUUUUUACUUCAUGAUAUGUACAUACUAACUCAGACAAGUAAGGAACAAAGUUCUCUGACCUGUUCUGUGUCCCUGAGAGUCUUUCUUUAUACCCGCAAGUCUCCUCCCACGUGGGUAGGAACUGAGCCUCUCUUCUCCCCAGACCAUCUCUUUUCUUACAAAGACAUCCCUAACUAAGACAUCCAGAUGGAAUCUCACUCUCCCCAGUCCCCAGCACCUGCCCUCUCACUCACCCUGUCCAACAUCCCUUCUCAGAAGGUAAGUGUCGCACAUCCUGACAGCUCAAAGCAGCAGCUAGAGCUUCUGGGUGCCACUGAUGAUGGGGCAAAGAUGGGGGUGAACCCAAGGCUGGCAAUAAGCCCUAAGCUGGAGAACACAUGCCAGUGGACCCUGUCCCUGGGGAUCAAAAUUGCCUAGUAGUAGUCUAACCUCUCCAACCGAACAGUCCCCAGUCCCACAGCUUCAACUUGAGAACAGGGGCUGCUGGGCACACUGGCUUCUCAGUUCAAGAGGCCAUGGAACUAGUGUCAUAGUAGCUCCAGACAGCAACACCAAUCCACACUGUACUACUCAACAAAUCUGUGCUGUAAUGGGUAGGAAACAAGGGAGAAAAUGAAAAUUAAAUUAAAAAUAAUUUAUUUAAAAAUAAUUUUAAAAUACUUAAAUUGAAACUAAUCUCUGGUAUUUUUGUUCUCACCCCAAACCUCUACUGUUACUACUCUCUUCUUGAUAGCUCUCUUGUAUCAUCUUUCCAUUAUCCUUAUGUCUCUUGUUUCUUGAGCCCAAAGACAAACCUACAGAUAGGUCUACACACAGAUAACAUGCAUCUUUAAUCCCUAUAGCUCUACAGAAGUCGCCUAUGUGCCUCUGCUCUGGACUUCUGUACUUCCCAGCCAUGACAUUCUUUCUGGGAUGCAUUCCUUCCACCACUCUCUGUCUCUCCAGGCAUCUUCUACUCUGCCCACCCCCCAGUUUUGAUGAUCAGGCAUCUUCCACCCUUUUUCAUACAUUGACAUGUACAGAUGGCCCAGGGGCUCCCCUUACAAAAGAAUCCACAAGAGGGCAAAGCCCUCUUGACCAUUGUAUCAAGGACUGAUCCUGUUUACUUUAACACAUGCUGGAAAAGAGAAAGGCUGAGCAGAGAGGUCUGUUCAGGUCUUGCAUGUCCACAGAAUGUGGAUUCCAAGACUACAUCUUUAUUACGGACAACACUGGCUCAUCAGACCUUGGCUUCCUGCUCAACAUUCCCAUGUGGAUUUCCUCCUGCCACAGCACAUACAGGAUGCCUCAAAUUAAACUCAUCACAGGUUCCUUUUGUAACAUUUCUUUCUUUAAUGGUAUGACUCAUUCCAGAACUCCAAGAUGGAACCCUCAAGUGCUCUUUUCUGAUCCACUUUUUCCCUUAACCCUUAUUAUGCUCUAUGUCACCAAUUCCUAUUGCUCCUCCCACUGAAAUGCACUUUUCUAUUGAAGUCCAUUAUUACUGUCCCAACCUAGGUCUUCAUCACCACAGUUUGCACUUACUCAUCUUUUUUACUUGAAUAUUUAUAUCCAAAUCCACUCAGAAAAUCAGUUUAAUCUUUCUAUAACCCCUUAAAAAAACAAAACAGCUUAUGCUUCUCAUUUUCUUGCACAUGAACACCCAGAAAUCCACAACUGAUUUCUCAAAAUCUGUCCCUCUCUAGUACUGGCCUGACUUCACAUACCAAGAUUUUUAAAGACAUUACAGUAGGGCCACUUGCCUCCUACUUCUCUACAAAACAACCAAAACAUAUUAACCACCUUCUUGUGCCAGUCCCAGUGAUCAGGACUAGAGGAAAGGCAGAAUCCAAAACAGACAUGAUCCCUGUCCUCAUGCAUCCUACAAUCUAUCUCAGGAUGUUCUCCCAUCUCUUCUCUGCCAACAGUGCUCUGCCACUUAAUAUGUAAUUAUAUGCCUUCGUGUUGCUGACUUACUCAUAUAUUCAACCAAGGAUGACUUAGGGUUAGGGCACAGUGCUGAGCAGGUGGAAACUUCAAGCUCUGGAAGAUGGAGAUGAAGUUAUCAAUGUAUCCUAGCAUGUGGCUCAGUGACUGUAGGUGGGUAGGUAGACCAUAACCCUUUUUAAAUGAAUGACUUCCAUGAUAAGAGGUUAUAAAAUUGGGCAAUCAGAAUUUAGAGCAGAGAGAAAUCAGAAUGUUGAGCACUUUUCAGAAGGUUGUGCUCUGGAGGGUGUAUGGGCUGCACACAGACUGACAUGUGGGAGGAGGACAUUCCAAGCAGUGCUGGAAUGUGAGGCAAGGAAGAGAAGGCCAGCUGCCGGCCCCAGGAUCUGCUCCCCUCUGUUUCCACAGUAAUGGGGUAUAAGCAGCCCAGCUAGCCCUUGGACCAUGAUAAUCCAUGUUCCUAAGUUCUCACUGAUAAAAUGUGUGCAGAAAUAAUGUAUCAAUGUCCAUAUCAUCUGCUGUAAUGGAGUAGGAUAGGUUAUGUUGUGGAAUAAAUAGCAUGUUUAUUUCUUGCUCACAAAAAUCUGCUUCAGGGCCAAGGACUUCUUUGCAUUCACUCUGGAUUCCUGCAGGUUUCUUUCUUGCUGCUCCUCCACAUCAAUGUGCGUUUUGUGGCCAUCGUGCCAAGGGAAGCAAGGGCCACAGAGUCAAGUGCCAGCAAUGAAAACUUCAGCACACAAGUGGCUCAUGCCACCUUGGAUUCUACUGCUUUGGUCAGAGCUGGUCACAUGGCUGUGCCUAUUAAGAGUGAAGAAGUGUGACCUUCUGGGUUCCCAUAAAUAGAAAAGACCUACAUAUUGAUAACUAUUAUGUCUAUUACAUUUACAUGAAAUGAAAUUGCAUAUCAUAGACUUGAUAUCUACACUCUGAAGGCCAAAACACAUACAUGACAUUGACCAAGCCCCUGUGUUUUAAAGUCUCUAUCAGUAGCUUAGCCAUAUUUCAACUAAUAGAAGAACAAUUAAGGGACAACUAGGGCUUGUGUA